rnacentral:rRNA from 1 species
UACGUAGGUGACAAGCGUUUGUCCGGAUUUACUGGGCGUAAAGAGCGCGCAGGCGGUCGUUCAAGUCGAGUGUGAAAGCCCCCGGCUCAACUGGGGAGGGUCAUUCGAUACUGAUCGACUCGAAGGCAGGAGAGGGAAGUGGAAUUCCCGGUGUAGUGGUGAAAUGCGUAGAUAUCGGGAGGAACACCAGUGGCGAAGGCGGCCCCCUGGUUGGGAUACUGACGCUGAGACGCGAAAGCGUGGGGAGCAAACAGG